UACGUAGGGGGCAAGCGUUGUCCGGAAUUAUUGGGCGUAAAGCGCGCGCAGGCGGUUAAUUAAGUCAGAUGUGAAAGGCUACGGCUCAACCGUAGAGUGGCAUUUGAAACUGGUUAACUUGAGUGCAGGAGAGGUGAGUGGAAUUCCCGGUGUAGCGGUGGAAUGCGUAGAGAUCGGGAGGAACACCAGUGGCGAAGGCGGCUCACUGGCCUGCAACUGACGCUGAGGCGCGAAAGCGUGGGGAGCGAACAGGAUUAGAAACCCGGUGU
rnacentral:rRNA from 1 species